AUGCUGUUCACUGCACUGACCUAGCUGAUGACGGUAUGCAGGAGGUUGAGUACUUCUUCAAGAUUCUCCGGUAACUACGGAAACAGACAAGACUUCAGUGAAGGUUACAGUGCAUCCUGAGUAAUCGGCGUCACAAUGCAUUUUCGUUGAUGUGUCUUCUGUAACCGCUGGAAUGAACAUUCAGCCACCGUUGCAGCAAUGUGUUGAGAGAUGCAAAGGCGAGGUUUGAUGAGCUGAUUUCGAUGUGAUAUUAAUCCUGAAACAUAAUGCAAUGCCAUAGUAAAUGACUGUCGUUGAAUUCAUUCCUUUUCGCUUUCAUUAUAAGAACGGAAUUUAUCUGUCUGUUUGAACCACACAUAUACUAUGCAUCGUGGUGUCUGCGGGCUCUGUGAUGUCAUGAUGUUAUGGUGUCAUGAUGUCAUGUUUUGAUGUCAUGAUGUUAUGAUGUCAUGAUGUUAUGGUGUCAUGAUGUUAUGAUGUCAUGAUGUUAUGAUGUCAUGAUGUCAUGAUGUUACGGUGCCAUGAUGUUAUGAUACCAUGAUGUCAUGAUGUUAUGAUGUCAUGAUGUUACGGUGUCAUGAUGUCAUGAUAGAUCAUCUUUGUCUUACGUGAGUACAAAAUGGCAAUCAUGUGCAGGCUCUGUGCAUUCGUUGUGAGUUAUCUGAUCCAGCUGCAGGGUGUGCAUUUGUGUUUGUUACAGUGUUACACACUGCAUGUAUAGCAUGUAUGCUGCAGUUGAUAGUUUUGUAUUGAUAGUACACAUUAUCAUGACAUCGUAUAGUUCUCAUCCUAUCUUCAAUGUAGCUAGUAGUAAUAAUAAUUGUAGUAGAAUUUGAGUAUUUCGCUCCUGCUCUUGUAGCAGUUCAGCACUCUCGUGUGGGGUAGUGCAUUUUCUGUUUGCGUUAUCCAGAGCUCACUGACUUGUCAGUUUGAGCACUCUCA